rnacentral:rRNA from 1 species
GAUGAACGCUGGCGGCGUGCCUAAUACAUGCAAGUCGAGCGAACGGACGAGAAGCUUGCUUUUCUGAUGUUAGCGGCGGACGGGUGAGUAACACGUGGAUAACCUACCUAUAAGACUGGGAUAACUUCGGGAAACCGGAGCUAAUACCGGAUAAUAUUUUGAACCGCAUGGUUCAAAAGUGAAAGACGGUCUUGCUGUCACUUAUAGAUGGAUCCGCGCUGCAUUAGCUAGUUGGUAAGGUAACGGCUUACCAAGGAAACGAUGCAUAGCCGACCUGAGAGGGUGGUCCGCCACCCUGGAACUGAGACACGGUCCAGACUCCUACGGGAGGCAGCAGUAGGGAAUCUUCCGCAAUGGGCGAAAGCCUGACGGAGCAACGCCGCGUGAGUGAUGAAGGUCUUCGGAUCGUAAAACUCUGUUAUUAGGGAAGAACAUAUGUGUAAGUAACUGUGCACAUCUUGACGGUACCUAAUCAGAAAGCCACGGCUAACUACGUG